rnacentral:rRNA from 1 species
AGCGAACGCUGGCGGCAGGCCUAACACAUGCAAGUCGAACGGACCCUUCGGGGUUAGUGGCGGACGGGUGAGUAACACGUGGGAACGUGCCCUUUGGUUCGGAACAACCCAGGGAAACUUGAGCUAAUACCGCAUGUGCCCAUCGGGGGAAAGAUUUAUCGCCAUUGGAGCGGCCCGCGUCUGAUUAGCUAGUUGGUGGGGUAAUGGCCCACCAAGGCGACGAUCAGUAGCUGGUCUGAGAGGAUGAUCAGCCACAUUGGGACUGAGACACGGCCCAAACUCCUACGCGAGGCAGCAGUGGGGAAUCUUGCGCAAUGGGCGAAAGCCUGACGCAGCCAUGCCGCGUGAAUGAUGAAGGUCUUAGGAUUGUAAAAUUCUUUCACCGGGGACGAUAAUGACGGUACCCGGAGAAGAAGCCCCGGCUAACUUCGUGCCAGCAGCCGCGGUAAAAC